ACUUUGGGAUAACUUCAGGAAACUGGGGCUAAUACCGGAUAGGAGCUCCUGCUGCAUGGUGGGGGUUGGAAAGUUUCGGCGGUUGGGGAUGGACUCGCGGCUUAUCAGCUUGUUGGUGGGGUAGUGGCUUACCAAGGCUUUGACGGGUAGCCGGCCUGAGAGGGUGACCGGCCACAUUGGGACUGAGAUACGGCCCAGACUCCUACGGGAGGCAGCAGUGGGGGAUAUUGCACAAUGGGCGGAAGCCUGAUGCAGCAACGCCGCGUGCGGGAUGACGGCCUUCGGGUUGUAAACCGCUUUCGCCUGUGACGAAGCGUGAGUGACGGUAAUGGGUAAAGAAGCACCGGCUAACUACGUGCCAGCAGCCGCGGUGAUACGUAGGGUGCGAGCGUUGUCCGGAUUUAUUGGGCGUAAAGGGCUCGUAGGUGGUUGAUCGCGUCGGAAGUGUAAUCUUGGGGCUUAACCCUGAGCGUGCUUUCGAUACGGGUUGACUUGAGGAAGGUAGGGGAGAAUGGAAUUCCUGGUGGAGCGGUGGAAUGCGCAGAUAUCAGGAGGAACGCCAGUGGCGAAGGCGGUUCUCUGGGCCUUUCCUGACGCUGAGGAGCGAAAGCGUGGGGAGCGAACAGGCUUAGAUACCCUGGUAGUCCACGCUGUAAACGGUGGGUACUAGGUGUGGGGUCCAUUCCACGGGUUCCGCGCCGUAGCUAACGCUUUAAGUACCCCGCCUGGGGAGUACGGCCGCAAGGCUAAAACUCAAAGGAAUUGACGGGGCCCCGCACAAGCGGCGGAGCAUGC
rnacentral:rRNA from 1 species